UACGUAGGGUGCGAGCGUUGUCCGGAAUUAUUGGGCGUAAAGGGCUCGUAGGCGGUUUGUCGCGUCGGGAGUGAAAACCCAGGGCUUAACCCUGGGCUGGCUUCCGAUACGGGCAGACUAGAGGUAUGCAGGGGAGAACGGAAUUCCUGGUGUAGCGGUGAAAUGCGCAGAUAUCAGGAGGAACACCGGUGGCGAAGGCGGUUCUCUGGGCAUUACCUGACGCUGAGGAGCGAAAGUGUGGGGAGCGAAUAGG
rnacentral:rRNA from 1 species